rnacentral:tRNA from 1 species
UGGGGCUGUAGCUCAGUGGUAGAGUACUUGCCUCACAUGUGUGAGGCUCUGGGUUCGAUCCUCAGCACCACAA